GACGAACGCUGGCGGCGUGCCUAAUACAUGCAAGUUGAGCGCUGAAGGUUGGUACUUGUUCCAACUGGAUGAGCAGCGAACGGGUGAGUAACGCGUGGGGAAUCUGCCUUUGAGCGGGGGACAACAUUUGGAAACGAAUGCUAAUACCGCAUAAAAACUUUAAACACAAGUUUUAAGUUUGAAAGAUGCAAUUGCAUCACUCAAAGAUGAUCCCGCGUUGUAUUAGCUAGUUGGUGAGGUAAAGGCUCAACAAGGCGAUGAUACAUAGCCGACCUGAGAGGGUGAUCGGCCACAUUGGGACUGAGACACGGCCCAAACUCCUACGGGAGGCAGCAGUAGGGAAUCUUCGGCAAAGGACGGAAGUCUGACCGAGCAACGCCGCGUGAGUGAAGAAGGUUUUCGGAUCGUAAAAAUCUGUUGGUAGGGAAGAAAGUUAGUGAGAGUGGAAAGCUCAUAAAGUGACGGUAACUAACCAGAAAGGGACGGCUAACUACGUG
rnacentral:rRNA from 1 species